UUUUUUCCCCCUCUGCGGGGCGGGGCGGUAUUUCCCUGGUAACGGAGAAGUGGCGGGUGGUAAAGGUCGUGGAGGGUUUCUCCAUCUUCCUUCCCUCCCUCCUUUCUAAUCUGGGCACCAGGGCCUGUGACCGUUUCGUUAGCGGAGAGGUAGCUGCCAGUCAGCUUCGGUAGGCCUGUGCCCCAAGCCCUUCUGGCGGCCUCCGUGCUGAGCUCGCGGCUCACGCGGAGAGGGACGCGCAGUGACGAGCGGCCGAAGCAGCUUUGCGAAUGAAGCGGCAUUUGGAUGACCAGGAGUCACUGUCGUAUGCAGCCCAGCAGUGUCAAAUCCCGGGCAGCACAGAGGCUUUCCUCACCAGCACCGGGUGCUUGCCCCCACCCCUCCUGUGAAUAAAGCAGUGGCAGAGACCAUGCAGUCAGCCCCGGGAAUUCAGUACUCUAACACCCAGCUACCAGAUAUAGUGAGAAGUUACCACCUAUGAAUCAGAAAGUGGACCCUCACCUGAACCUGACCAUGCUGGCACCAUGAUCUUGGACUUCUCAGCCUCCAGAACUUUCUUUUCUGGCAAUUUCUUCCACUCUCAUCCCUGAAUUGAAGCACUCAGCUUUCUGGCCACCUCUGCAUUUGUUACAGGAUGGAAAGUCUUGACUGAGUUCUCUGGGUUCUUGGCACAUUGAACAAAGAAUCGAACAAAAUGCAUAAACAAAGCAACAAAAGAAUGAAGCAAUGAGAGAAGAAAGAAAGAAUGCAAGUGCAGGUUUAUUGAAGCAAAAGCACACAUUCCACAGAGUGGGAUCAAGCUCCAACAAGUGGCUCUAGAGCCCCAAUUACAAUGUUAUUCUAUUUGAGAUGGAGUGUCACUCUGUCGCCCAGGCUGGAGUGCAGUAUCAUGGUCUCAACUCACUACAACAUCUGCUUCCCGGUUCAAGUGAUUCUCCUGCCUCAGCCUCCCGAAUAGCUGGGAUCACAGGUGUGCACCACCGCACUGGGCUAAUUUCUGGUUUUUGUUUGUUUGUUUGUAGAGACGGAGUUUCACCAAGUUUGCCAGCUGGUCUUCAAUGCCUGGCCUCAAGUGAUCCGCCCACCUUGGCCUCCCAAAGUGCUGAGAUUAUAGGUGUAAGCCACCAAGCAUGGCAGAAUUACAAUCUUCUUUAAGGUUUUUAUUAAACUAAAAGAAUUUGGUAACACACCUAGGUGCCCUUUAGAGGCCUCCAAUUGGCUUCACCCUAUGAAGAAUUGGCCUAUGGCCAAUCAGAGUCUGAAGUGGAGACUUGGCAUGUGGUCAAUCAGAGGCUAAAGUGGAAACUUCUAUCUUGUUAUCACAGGAGUGAGGAUGUGGCCUGUGUGCUGCUUAAUCUUGCCUAGAACUGGCUGCAUCUGCUGUUUUUUGCGUCUGCCUUAACCCUUGGUUACCCUAAUUCCCUAUUUUCCUGCCUCACAUUCACUUCCUUAAGGAGCUAACUGGCACACAGAAGCCUAUCGCCUGACCUAGAAGACUCCCAAAUCUCUAGUCUGUGCUGCCAACCUCCCCAGUUUCUAACUUUUCUCUUCUCUGAGAUCUUCUAGCCCCAUACUUGGGAUCUUGUUAAAAUUCAGCUUCUGAUUUAGCAGGACUGGGGUUGAGCCUGAUUUUGCAUUUCUAGUCAGCUUCCAGGUGAUGUCCAUGCUGCUGGCCUAUGAACUACACUUGAGAAGUGAGAAUCUAGCUUAAAUGCUACACCAGAAAUCACCUGACCAGCAUCACGCGAAUCCUGUAGUCUUCACAGCAGUUUACUGGAUCUUUUCAGCAAGGCUGUCAUAGGCUCUUAACUCCCUGGACCUGUGUGACAGAAGCCACUAUCCUCCUCCUAAUUCCAUCUCUUUCUCAAUGGUGAUAGAGCCUCCUUUACCCCCAUUUUUAGCCAGGCACUUGGCCAUCCGGAAUAAAAUGUCCUUGUCUUCUGUCCAGCUAGGAAUGGCCAUGUGACUACUUCUGGGUAUAAGCAGAAAUGGUUUGUGACACUUUCAGAAAGUUUCCUUAAAGGGAGGGAAUAGGCGAUUUUCUCUCCCUUUCUUCCUUCCUGUUGGUUGCAAGAGUCAUGGUGACUGAAGCUCAACAGUCAUCAUAGGCCAAGAAGUGGAUGUGGCAAGCAGGGCAGUAGUAUGGGGCAAACCUGGCUACUCCAGACCUCUUUCACAUGAGGGGGAAAUACAAGGCUUUUUCACUCAAACCGCUGAUAUUUGGGGUUCUCCAUUUCUCAUAGUUUAAUACUAAUAGAUGCUGCUCACUAAUAAACUCCCCUCCGUGUCUCUGUCCGGCAGAGCCAGCUCGAGCAUUCCACUUAGUCUCUAAGGGGUAUGAGUUUCAGCACUCCCCAGCCUCUACCUGAGUCCUUCCCUCACCCCCAGGUUGUUUUUGUUUGUCUUUGAGAUGGAGUCUCACUCUGUCACCAGGCUGGAGUGCAGUGGUGCAAUUUUGGCUCACUGCAACCUCUGCUUUCCAGGUUCAAGCGAUGCUCCUGCCUCGGCCUCCCUAGUAGCUGGGACUACAGGCGCCUGCCACCACGCCUGGCUAAUUUUUUUGUAUUUUUAGUAGAGAUGGGGUUUCACCAUGUUGGCCAAGCUGGUUUUGAACUCCUGACCUCAAAUGAUCCUCCCAUCUCGGCCUCCCAAAGUGCUAGGAUUACAGGCAUGAGUGAUUGCACCCAGCCUGCCCCCUUCCUUUUUAGCAUGUUUCAGCUUCUCUUUGAAAAAGGAUGGGAGGCUGGAGGUAGAGCCCCACCUUGAAUCACAAAACUGAGGCCACAUGUGGAGUCUAUCAAAGCAAAUCAACCGGGUGAAUCCGUUCGUUAGGGCUGCUGUAAUACAGUAUCACAGAAUGGGUGGCAUAAGCGACUCACAGUUCAUGGAAGUCCAAGAUUGAGGUGUGGGAGUUUGGUUCCUCCAGAGGCCUGAUUCCUUGUCUUGCAAAUGGCCACCUUUUUGUGGUGUCCUCACAUGACUUUUCCGUUUUGUGAACUUUCCCCUGGCGUCCCUCUGUGGACUGCCCCAUUAGAUUGGUUGGGGGCUCACCCUACCAGCCUGAUUUGAAUUUAAUUACUACUUUAAAGGCUCUAUCUUGAAAUAAGUCACUUUCUGAAGUCCUGGGUUUAGGACUUCAGCAUAUGAGUUUGGAGGAGAGGGACGAAGUUCAGCCCAUGACACAGGGAGAACCCAAGUAAUGGUUGGCAUCGCGGGGCCUCCAUACCAGCCUCAGUGCCCAGCUCUAAGGCUCUGUUUACAUAAGAGAAAAACUUGUUUUAGAUUAUGCCUUCAAGGUCAAGUUUUGUUCACGGCAGCCAAAUACAAUCUCUAACUGUACAACUGAUUUCACUUCAUUUUUUUGUGUUUGCUCCUCUUUCUUUGAGUCCUUUAUGGACUAGGGCCAUCUCUUGCAUUAGAACAGGUUAUUGGACUAUGCUGGUCUGUGUAUAGGUAAUGAUAGGUAAGUGUUUUAGGCUUAUUAACUAAAAUUUCAUCUUUAAGAUGACAAAUUCCAGGCAAUUAGAGGGCAUCCCAAAUCCAUUAAGUUGAAUGAUUCUGAUUCUCUGCCACAAGAUCAUCUAAGUUUUACUUUAAUCUGACUUUCAAAAAUUUCUCUGGCUAAGAAUCCAAGUGAGUUAUCAUAUGUGAAAUAAUGAUUUAAACAUUGCCUUCAUGAACUUCAAUAUUUGUGUAUAUAAGUUUUAAAUAGUCACAUAAGCCCUAACAUUGAAAGUAAGAUCCAAUAUAAUCAUCACUUAUUUCUUUGAAAAUUAAGGUUCAUUUCUAAGGCUGGAAAUUCAAAUGAUACAGAAAGAGGUUUUGACAGUUCUGCUGAAAUGUAUCUGUAGAAACUUCUGUUUUGAAUAAAGUGAAUUAUUGUUCAUCGAUAUUUUA